rnacentral:rRNA from 1 species
UACGUAGGGGGCAAGCGUUGUCCGGAAUCAUUGGGCGUAAAGCGCGCGUAGGCGGCCCGGUAAGUCCGCUGUGAAAGUCCAGGGCUCAACCCUGGAACGCCGGUGGAUACUGCCGGGCUAGAGUCCGGAAGAGGCGAGUGGAAUUCCUGGUGUAGCGGUGGAAUGCGCAGAUAUCAGGAGGAACACCUAUGGCGAAGGCAGCUCGCUGGGACGUUACUGACGCUGAGACGCGAAAGCGUGGGGAGCAAACAGG